UAAGGAAUAUUGGUCAAUGGACGCAAGUCUGAACCAGCCAUGCCGCGUGCAGGAUGACUGCCCUAUGGGUUGUAAACUGCUUUUAUACGGGAAGAAACCCCUCUACGUGUAGAGGGCUGACGGUACUGUAAGAAUAAGGACCGGCUAACUUCGUGCCAGCAGCCGCGGUAAUACGAAGGGUCCAAGCGUUAUCCGGAUUUAUUGGGUUUAAAGGGUGCGUAGGCGGCUUAUUAAGUCAGUGGUGAAAGACUUCAGCUUAACUGAAGAACUGCCAUUGAUACUGAUGAGCUUGAAUAUAGUUGAGGUGGGCGGAAUGUGUCAUGUAGCGGUGAAAUGCUUAGAUAUGACACAGAACACCGAUUGCGAAGGCAGCUCGCUAAACUAUGAUUGACGCUGAUGCACGAAAGCGUGGGGAGCAAACAGGAUUAGAUACCCUGGUAGUCCACGCCCUAAACGUUGAUAACUCGUUGUGUGCGAUAUACAGUACGCGACUAAGC
rnacentral:rRNA from 1 species